rnacentral:lncRNA from 1 species
AGUAAAAGUUCGGAGUAGACCGCUCGUAGUAGAAGUUCGGCUAUCGCAGGAGCUCGACUGGAAUCCUGAAGACGGUCGACCGCCGUAGAAACUUGGAUGGAAUCUGAUCACUGUAGAAAUCUCGUUGUCGAAGAAGCUCGGCUAUUAACGAAGUCCGGAAGGAGUUCGGAGAAUAGUUGAUCACCGUAGAAGGUCGACUGAUAGUGAGGCCUAGAGAGUCUUUGGAGCGGCCCGGUAGAUGAAUGGAGAAGCUUAUUGUCGGAUAAGUCCGGAAUCUCGAACGGUCUAGGAGGCUCAGAGAGAUGCCACACAAGGUCGGA